UCUUGAUUUUUAACUAAGAUAUAUAUAUGUAUUGUUGACCCAGGGUCUGCAUACUUUUAUGUUAGUGCCAGCAUUGCUUGCCUUCCUGCUGUCUCUUGUAUAAAAAUAAAUUUUGAUAUGUUAGUAACUAGUCUUUUUGGAAUUAGUUUUGGAAGAGUUUGCUAGCGAAAGAUAUCUCCUAUAAUACGAUAAAUUAUUGAAUAUCGAUAGAUAAAAGAGUUAUGGAAGUAAAAAUUUGAACAGCUGGUUCAGAUGUAACAAAGAAAUGUUACGAAUAUUAGCAAGAUUAUUGACUAGAAUGGUCAGAGGACCAAUGAUUAGGUAAAUAAUUCUAACAUGAUUGCAAUGGUCAUUUAAUAAGGGAACAUGAAUUGAAAUAUUAGACAGAACGAUAGUAAGAGAAGAUUAGUGUUAUACAAACAAAUUAAAUAUUGUAUUAGAUUGUUAAAAGUCUUACACAAACUUAAAGGAAAGAAGAUUAUACGAUUCUAUAGAAAGGAGAAAAAAUAAGUUCUCACUCCACAGGAUCACACAAGGUCCUAGAAAGAGUGGAUUCAUUAGCACACAAAAUUGCUUACCUCUAAAAAGGUGAAAUGAAUUUAAAUUCAACGUAUGAUGGGGAAACUCAUAAAGAUCUUAGUACAUGAGGUGAAGUAGCUGAGAAAUAAAUGUAUACAUUUGGUUAAGGUGUUAUGGACCAUUAUUCAGAUUAUGAAACUACAUGAAAAUAUAUGAAAGACAUGAGAAAAUAAACGUAUGACUAUUUUAGGAUGGAUAUUGGGUAAAAUUUCACGAACGAAAUUUCUUUUAAGUGGGGAAGAAUUGUAACACCCCUAUAUGCAUAGCCCAGUAUAUUUCACUGUUCCGGUGACCGGUGUCGAUCUGGAAAAUUAAGAGGAUUAGAACUAUGUUUAAGACACCUAGAAAAGCCCUGAAUGAAAAUUAAUAGUGAUUACCAGUUAGUUAAGUAUAAACAAGAAAAACAAAGCAUAAAAAGUUAAAUGAGUAGAUGGUCACAACGAUGGGUGACCUUACCAAUAAGUGACUGCGAGGUCAGUCCUAACCCUAAUUUUGAACAGGAAAUUGUGACACCACGGUCCUAAGGACUAUUACGAACCUAGUGGGAAAGAGAAAAUCAUAGAAAAGAGCUGAUAAGUAGGUCAAAUAAUUAGGUCAAGACUCCGAAAGAAAUGCCAAAUUAUUUGCAAAUCGGAUCAAACUGGCGAAGGGCAAUUUGGUCAAUUCACCCCUAGUAGUGACUCUUGACCUAACUGUCCAAUAAAAUAGGAGAAAUGAAAAUUUCGAAAUAGAGAAUUAAAUUAAAGAAGAGUAGAAAUUAAAGGAAAAAGAAAAGUAAAUGCAAAUGGAAUUAUUACAUCACUUUGGUGACAUCAUAUAUGAUGUCAAAAUAAAAUUUUACUUACCCUAAUUUUUGAACAAGUCAAAUUUAACUUAAUUGGACAUAAAAACAUAAAAAUUAAAAGAACAAAAUCAUUUCCUUCUCCCCCAACCAGCCGGCUGAACCCCAAUCCUCUCUCUCCCCAUGGUUUUUCCUCCAUUAACAAAUUAUUCAAGCUUGAAUAACUUGACCUUGCCCCAUAAAUUUCUACCCAAAACCCUCAAAGGCUUCUAAUUCACCAAAGAUAAGAAGAUUGAAGAACAAAGAGAAAGGAGAAAGUGAAGAAAUUGGUGAAUUGGAAAUCAAAGAUUGAGGUUAGUGAUUUAAAUUGAAAAUUCUAGUUCAAUGCUUAUGUUUCUAGCAAAAUUAACUUAGAAUUAAAGUGAAAAUUUAAACAAAACAAUUAUGGGGGAUUAAUGGUAAAUUUUGGCCAGCCUAUAGGGAGGUAGAAAUUGCUUGAGUUUGAUGAAAUUAAAGAGAUAGAGAAGUUGAAUUAAGUAUGUAGAUUAAGAUUAUGCACUUUAAUUUCAUUAGUUGCAUGAAUUACACAAUUAGGGUUCUUGAGAUCUUGAAAUUGGGAGAAAAAUUGAAGGAAAUGGUCAAUUGAUGCAAUUGACCCUAAUUGAGGUUAGAAAUGGUCAAUUGGGACCAAUUGUGAUGUGUUGGAAUUGGUAGAAACUAAAUGCAAUUCGGAUUGGUUAGGGGUCCCAACCUGGCAGUUUGACCUAGGUCCCUUUCAGGGACCAAAACUGAAAUUUUACCAACCCAAUUGGGGUGAGGCUAGGGAAUGAAAUUAAGCACAUAAAGACACAAUUUUCAUUUAGAAACCAUGCCUAGAAAAUGACAUUAACAUAGUGAACAAUUAGGUCAAACCUGGAUAUUAUGCACUGCCACUAUAUCAAAAUGACCAAAUAAAUAGUGUUUGUUCAUUUGGCCAUAACUUGGGUUAGAUAGGUCCAAAUGACCGGAUUUUUGUGGCAUUGGAAAGCUAUGACAUAUAAAUACAACUUUUGUGAAGAACACCAACCCAAAUUCUGCCCAUAACCAAGUCAUUUUGCCACCCAAAUUUAGUUGUCCAAAACUGCCAGAACCAAUAAAGUGCCCAGAAAUUCUGGAUAACACCAAUCUAGCCAGCCUUAGGAAAAUGGAUAUAUCUUGAGCUACAAAACUCCAAAUGGAGUGAUUCAAAAAGAAAAUUAAAGAUAAGACAAUAAGGAACAACUUUGAUGAAGGACACUUAGCCAAAUUCCUAUAUUAACUAGAUCAAUAGAACAGUGCAAAAUAUGGCACCAAAACUGAAAAAUUGAGCUUUAUCUUAGGAGACCUAGAAAUUGAAAUGGCAACCUAAACCAACAAAUUAGGCACCCAAAAUGUGGUAUGUGGGUGUAAUGAGAAUUGGUAUACCAAAUUAGUGUGGAAAAGUCAAUAUUUUGUUCCAAUGGUCAAAUGAAUAGUAACCACAUAAUUAAGAAUACAAAGAAUUCAAUUUAUGAGAGUAUAUAAGUAAAGUUUAAAUGCAAAUUUCAAUUGUUAAAUUUAUGGUUAAACAUAAUUUGAAUAAAUAUUAAAACAUCUUAAUUGUGUGCUUUAGCGGAAAAAGGGCAUUCCGAGGAAAGGAAUUAACAGGAGUGAAAGAAGAAAAGUUUGAUUACGAGAUAGGGAAAAGGACAUAGUAGAAGAGUGAGCUGCUACAGUAAUAGGGGAGCACAACUUGAAGAUUUUUGUACGAGUAUAUUAUUUAUACCCAUGUGAUUUGGUUGAUGCAAAUAUGGUAUUGUCAUAUGUAUAUAUGUAAAAUUGAGCAGUUGUACAGUAAUUUGUAAUAAUAUUAUUUUGGAUUUUCUAUUUAUAAAUUAAGACUAGUGAAUGUAAAUAAUUUUUCCUUUAAUGAAAUGUGUAUGAAAUUAUUUAGUAUUAUUUUGAAAA